ACCGCGAUAGCUCAGCUGGUAGAGCGUCUGCCCGGCAUGCGGAGGGCCGCCUGUUAGAUUCCGGCUCCCGGCA
rnacentral:tRNA from 1 species